rnacentral:lncRNA from 1 species
CAUUCGUUCCUGACGAACACGACGACGCUCCCCCCGACCACACACAAACGUUCGCGUUGAAGUUUCUGUACGCCGCUGUGAAUGGAGCUUUUGACCAAUCUGUCUUCACUAGCCCUCCUCUUGUCGCCCAGUCGUCUGCGUUCCAUAGACUCGAGUACAGUCUCAUCGGUUGGUUUUUUGGAAACAGAACCCCCGAGGAUUCGUGGUUCUUGAACUCUCUGAUCGGUGUUCCAUCUACCGAGAAUCUGUCGAACCAACCAAAACAAAUAUGGUUAUCCUAGCACACCAAACAGACCACUGAAAAAUUGAUACACAGAUUAAUUUACCGGCGUUAAAAACAGUUUAUGAUUAAAGCGAAUAAUUCAAAACAUCCAGUCUCUAGAAUUCUAUAAUUAUUGUGACAGAUUAGAUUUUUUAAACUAGUGAAAAUCAUAAAUAACAUAACUAAAUUUAGCAAUACUCUGUUUUUUUUUUUUCAAAGUGUCAAAAUUUAACAAUACUUUGUUUAUUAUUAUUAUUUUUUUUGGUGUUCAAGCUGUUAGAUAUAAGAUUCAAGUCAUUCCCACGUAAAUAAACAUAAAUUUUAGUUAUGUUUUCAACGUGUGAUACCAUGUUAAAAGACAAUCAAUUGAUUGAUUGGUUUGAUUCUUACAUGAUUCCUUGGGGAUUCCAGAGGAUUGAAUAGGUGUGGAAAUCAUAGGUAGGAUCAAACCAAAGGUGAAACUGUUGUUCUCUGUCGCCUUUGCCUUGGGUGUAAACAUUAGUAUGAAGAGUAUAAGGAUCACCGCUGAGAUUUCCCAAGAAUUCAAAGUCUAUUUCAUCCCACGUCGAGCCUUGGGAUUUAAGCUAAGAAGAAGAAGAAAAAAAGAAAGCAAAAUGAGGAAAGUAAUCAACAAAAAAAAAAACAUAUAGAUAAAUACGUAACAUCAUUAUAUGGUAAUUAAAGUAACAUACAUAAUAAGUAGUGACAGUGCCAGCAGAGUUUCCAGGGACAAGUUUAAGUUGCAUAUCAAUUUUACCAUAAAGGUAAACAUUCUUAGACUGAAAGCCAGAGCCAGAGCCUCGGUCUAAAGAAAGAGUAAGAAGGUCACCAUUAUUGAGAAUUUUGGCACGGUCAUUACCCCAAGUGAUUUCAAAGUCAUUGUAAAAGUUACCACAAAAAACA